AAAGGCGGCUUCGGCUGUCACUUAUGGAUGGACCCGCGUCGCAUUAGCUAGUUGGUGAGGUAACGGCUCACCAAGGCAACGAUGCGUAGCCGACCUGAGAGGGUGAUCGGCCACACUGGGACUGAGACACGGCCCAGACUCUACGGGAGGCAGCAGUAGGGAAUCUUCCGCAAUGGACGAAAGUCUGACGGAGCAACGCCGCGUGAGUGAUGAAGGCUUUCGGGUCGUAAAACUCUGUUGUUAGGGAAGAACAAGUGCUAGUUGAAUAAGCUGGCACCUUGACGGUACCUAACCAGAAAGCCACGGCUAACUACGUGCCAGCAGCCGCGGUAAUACGUAGGUGGCAAGCGUUAUCCGGAAUUAUUGGGCGUAAAGCGCGCGCAGGUGGUUUCUUAAGUCUGAUGUGAAAGCCCACGGCUCAACCGUGGAGGGUCAUUGGAAACUGGGAGACUUGAGUGCAGAAGAGGAAAGUGGAAUUCCAUGUGUAGCGGUGAAAUGCGUAGAGAUAUGGAGGAACACCAGUGGCGAAGGCGACUUUCUGGUCUGUAACUGACACUGAGGCGCGAAAGCGUGGGGAGCAAACAGGAUUAGAUACCCUGGUAGUCCACGCCGUAAACGAUGAGUGCUAAGUGUUAGA
rnacentral:rRNA from 1 species